GCAGCUCUCCAAGACACGGCCACAUAAACCGCCGGGAUAAGGUGCGGUUCAGCGCACGCGCAAAGCCGAGCACAGCGCCCCUCGACGUCCGGGACAGACGGCGGGGAGGAAGACGCUCUGCGCACGCGCAGAGCGUGGUACCGGAGCCGCGCACGGCUGGAGGAGGCUGAAGGGGUGAGAGGCCCGGCGCACGCGCAGAGCCGCACAGCAUGGCCGCUACAAGACGUUAGGGGACGGAGAGUGAAACGGAGACACUGGGGGAGCGGGGCAAGAUGGUCGUCGGGCGAGCUGAGGGGUGGGCCCUUUGCAGGCGGAAACCCCAGGUACAGCGUGCGCCUCCGAACUGGGCGGGCCAAGAGUCCCGACUUGAGUGGCCUGGUGCGCGCGGCCGCUCAGCGAGACUCCCACGUGCCUGAGGAGAAAAGGCGAUGAAGACGGCACUGCGCAGGCUCACUGUGCCGGCGCAGGCGCGGACUGGAGGCCAGCGACGAGGCAGCCAAGCAGCGUGUGUCUCCCGUCCGCCCGCGGGUUCCUCUCCGUGCUGUGCGCGGCCGCGCCGGGGCCUUUGAACGUCAGGGUCCGCGCAGGCCUGUGACGCCAUCGAGAGGCGACGGGAGCCCCCGCGUCCCCUGCCCUGUCACCUCGCGAGCAGGUGGCUCCCGCCGCCCCGCCCCCCGCGGACGUGGCAGCGCUGCGCCCGGCCACGACUCCCUCCGCGCGGCGCGGUGCCGCCCCCUCGGGCGCCCGGGGAGCGCCCGGCCGUCGGCGGUGGUCGCCGGAGCCUGCCCCUCCCGCGCUGCCGGCGCCGGGGGCCGGCUGGCGAUCUUCCCCGACGGGGACGGACGCGGCCGUGGGGGCGGGGGCGGGGGCGGGGGCGGGCGGAGCCCCUCGCGUCCGGAGGCGGCGAGUGUGAGCGCCCUGCCCGCUGUGUGCUGGGAGAGGGGCGAGCGGCGCUCUCGCUCGCGUGCCUCUGUGGGCCGUCCCGUGCAGGUGUCGCGUGUGCCGCGCUGGAGUUCGAUUUUAGUGGCUGUUCCUGGGAGCAGCCUGGGUGAGGAGAGCGUGUCCUCGGUGGCCGUGAGGAGCACGGGUUAAGCCGUGGACCUUUACAGACCGUGUGUGACCCCUUGGCGGCCCCGCCCGGGUCGGGUGUCAGGAAAACCGGGCUUCGCCAUCGCUGUCCUUCCGCGUUACUGUCUCUGAAGGAGUAACUGGAGUCGGCAGGUCGUGGCGGAUGAACAUGCUCAAGUAUGGGACUGGUUUUAAAUAAAGGAAACUGUGCCUUUACGUCCCCAUGCAAGGGAAAUGAGGUGUCAGAGUCCCACCUAGGGGUGCACAGGGGGUGUGCGCUGCCCGGGCCGGGACCUUCAGCUCCAGCUCGCCUCCGUGACUGGGCUCCCGUGUUCCGGGGCUGCGCAUCGUGCCAUCGCCACGCUCCUUCAUCCGUUUUCCUCAUCUCCCUGAUGCCCUUCCGUGUGCUCCCUCGUUCCUCCAUCAGCGCUUCGAGACCUGCCUCACGCGGCACCGCUUUGUACCCUUUCCUGACCCUGGAGAGGACACGGAGCCCUCCUUUGUGGGCACACUGUGCCCGAGGACUUGGACCUGCACAACCGGUUACUGACGCCAUUCUGUACUGAUUGCACUUUGUGUCUCCCUGCCUCUCCUAAGAUGCAGCGGGACAUGGUGUCUUACUUACACUUCGAGCCUCUCUUAACUCAGUGCCGGGAGCUAACACAGUAAACGCUGUUGCCUGGCCGGCUGAGCGAAUGAGUGAA